rnacentral:rRNA from 1 species
UACGUAGGGGGCAAGCGUUGUCCGGAUUAUUGGGCGUAAAGAGCGUGUAGGCGGCCACACAGGUCAGCUGUGAAAACUCGAGGCUCAACCUCGAGACGUCGGUUGAAACCGUAUGGCUAGAGUCCGGAAGAGGAGAGUGGAAUUCCCGGUGUAGCGGUGAAAUGCGCAGAUAUCGGGAAGAACACCCGUGGCGAAGGCGGCUCUCUGGGACGGUACUGACGCUGAGACGCGAAACGUGG